AGCAGCCGCGGUAAUUCCAGCUCCAAUAGCGUAUAUUAAAGUUGUUGCAGUUAAAAAGCUCGUAGUUGAAUUUCGGGAUCAAUAUAUUGGUCGUGCCUCUGGUAUGAACUGGUAUUAUUGAUUUCUACCUUCUGACGAACUGUGAUGUCAUUAAUUUGGUGUCAUGGGGAAUCAGGACUGUUACUUUGAAAAAAUUAGAGUGUUUAAAGCAGGCACACGCUUGAAUACAUUAGCAUGGAAUAAUGAAAUAGGACGUUUGACCCUAUUUUGUUGGUUUCUAGGAUCGACGUAAUGAUUAAUAGGGAUAGUUGGG
rnacentral:rRNA from 1 species